rnacentral:lncRNA from 1 species
AGACACUGUCAGAAAGUGGUUGGUUACCUCAGUAACAAACAACCAGGCUACUAUUUCACCAGUAGGCACACCUUGCUUGGCAGGUUGGUAUUCCAGCAUGUCGGGCUUGCCAAGGAAUAAGGACAUUGAUGGCGUUUUCUCUUCUAGAGGACUACAAAGCCCCUUCCAGCAUGAUGAAAGCUUCUUGUAUCAGGUAUAUGUGUGCCUGGUGCCUACAGAGUCCAGAAGAGGACUGGAAUUGGAGUUGAAAAUGGUAUGAGUCUCCAUAUGAGUGCUAGGACCUGAACCUGCAUCCUCAGCAAGAACAAGUGCUCUCGACUGCUGAGCCAUCUAUAGCUCCUCUUGUAUCUUUUAGACUUAUUAAUGAAGGGAUGUUGAAGUUUAUCAAAUACCCUUUUCUGUAUCUUUCAAGAUGAUGAUGAUGUAAGUUUUGUCCUUGAGUUUAUUUCUAUAUAAUUGAUUUGCGAAUGUUGAAUGAAUCUCCCCUUACUGAGAUGAAAUUAACCUGUUCAUGGCGUAUGAUCUUGAUUUCUCUCGAAUUCAAUUUGCAAGUAUUUUGUUGAGAACUCUUGCAUCUAUCUGAACCUUACAUUCCUUAGCAAUUACUGCUUCACUGGAAAAAAAAAGCAGAGAGAAAAUUAAAAUGUUUCAUUUAUUUAAAAUAUCAGAAA